rnacentral:tRNA from 2 species
GCCUCCGUAGCUCAGCGGACAGAGCAGCCGGCUUCUACCCGGACGGUCGAGGGUUCGAAUCCUUCCGGAGGCG